GUCGCGUUCCGCGGGAGCCUCACGCCGAGGCUGAGAGGACGAGUCGACGUCGACCGCCCGAACCCGAUACGCGUCACACCGUCGGAGGGAGGGACGAUGCGCAUCAU
rnacentral:ncRNA from 1 species